rnacentral:rRNA from 1 species
UACGGGGGGGGCAAGCGUUGUUCGGAAUUACUGGGCGUAAAGGGCGCGUAGGUGGCUUUGAUAGUCGGGUGUGAAAUGCCUGGGCUUAACCCAGGAACUGCACUCGAAACUCCAAGGCUUGAGUGUGGGAGAGGUUGGUGGAAUUCCCAGUGUAGAGGUGAAAUUCGUAGAUAUUGGGAAGAACACCGGUGGCGAAGGCGGCCAACUGGACCACAACUGACACUGAGGCGCGAAAGCGUGGGGAGCAAACAGG